rnacentral:lncRNA from 1 species
GUUAUGAUGAUGGCAUAUGCCAUAGUCAUAGUGGUAAAGAAGUGGAAGCAGAAGGAUCAUGAAUUCGAGGUCAUCCUCAGCUACAUAGUAAAUUGGAGGCUAGCCUGGACUACAUAAGAAUGUGUCCCAAAACAUCAUCAUCAUCAUCAUCAUCAUCAUCAUCAUCAACAACAACAACAACAACAAGAACAACAACCAAAAGACAACCUACAAGACAACUGGACUGUCCUACGAUCCCCUGGCUCAGUGAAGUGAGGUUCUGUUCGUUAUUACCGUCAUAUUGUCAGUGCAACCUCCUUAUAUUCUGCGAGGUUGCCUGCAACAUCUUCCUUUCCCUUCCACUGAAUGGCCACAUUCCAACCUAGGAGCUUGUCCCUUAAGCUUUAAUAUAUUCGACCUGGAAGAUACCUGGAUUUGGGAGAAUAGACAUUGUAAAGGCGGUGUAUGCAGGCAAACUAUCCUCUCUGAGCCAAAUUUGAGAUUGCUGUGAGAAGGGGGUUGAGGGAAGAAUCUUUAAAGGUGAAACCACAAGAAGACCUUCAAUAUCCAUGAAAACAAGAAAAAAAUUGGCCUGUCUGGCAAGUUAAGUAGUUAAGUUUUAACCUUGAUACUUUGGAAGGGGAGGAGUGGAUCGCUGAAACAGAUGAAGUCUCAUAGUCCACAGGAAGAAUCAAUAGAAAAUGAGACCCACAUCAAAAACAAACCGCACAAAUACAUUGCUUGGAAAUGUGGCAGUAAAUUAAAAUAGUGAGUUGGAAGGCGUCAAAGCAUAGCCCGGUGUGGAGUGGGAAGUGGAGAGGGAAGGAAGUCGGUCUUGCUCGGGGCUGCCUCAUUGUCUUUAUAGAGCCACGACACAUGCUUCUUGAUUAUGGAAACACAUUCAGAGAAUGUGCUAGUGGUUGUCAUCCUUGUACUAAAGUCGUGGAGUGUAUUAUACAAACUUAGACGGUCAUGACACAGUGACGUCUGAGGUGACGUCAUCUUACGAACCGCGGCCUCUACGUGGUCCGCCAUUGGUGGACCGCAGCACACACGCAGCAGUGUUUGCAUGUCUGUGUGGCUUCAUGGUGUCUGUAAAAACCACACUUCCAAACAGAAUGAGAGAGAAGGGUCUCAUCGUUUUCUAGAAGCAAACUUGUGCUGCAGCCCUUGAAGUCGUGGUUUGGGGAAAAUGCCAGAAGUAUAAAGCAGAAAAGAACAGCAGCUCAAGAUUCAAUUGAACUCAAUCAGCCCACGCUGGGCAUUAUGCCCAACUGCAGCGUUAGGUGCUCAGAACGAGACACGGUCCUGACCUUUCAUUGUUACAGGUAAAUUCUCAGCUCCAGUGCCUGCUCGCCACCGUGUUCCCUUCCACGAUGAUCAUGGACUCAACUCUCUGAAACCAUAAGCAAUUUCCCAAUAAACUCUUUCUUCUGUAAGUUACCUUGGUCAAGGUGCCUCUUCAGAGCAAAAGGAAUGCGCCUAAGACAGCUGGUAGGCAA